rnacentral:rRNA from 1 species
CCUACGGGUGGCAGCAGUGAGGAAUAUUGGUCAAUGGACGCAAGUCUGAACCAGCCAUGCCGCGUGCAGGAAGACGGCUCUAUGAGUUGUAAACUGCUUUUGUACGAGGGCAAACUCAGAUACGCGUAUCUGUCUGAAUGUAUCGUACGAAUAAGGAUCGGCUAACUCCGUGCCAGCAGCCGCGGUAAUACGGAGGAUUCAAGCGUUAUCCGGAUUUAUUGGGUUUAAAGGGUGCGUAGGCGGUUGGAUAAGUUAGAGGUGAAAUCCCGAGGUUCAACUUCGGAAUUGCCUCUGAUACUGGUAGGCUAGAGAGUAGUUGCGGUAGGCGGAAUGUAUGGUGUAGCGGUGAAAUGCUUAGAGAUCAUACAGAACACCGAUUGCGAAGGCAGCUUACCAAGCUACGUCUGACGUUGAGGCACGAAAGCGUGGGGAGCAAACAGGAUUAGAUACCCCUGUAGUC